CAGCCGCCGCGGUAAAACGUAGGUGGCAAGCGUUGUCCGGAAUUAUUGGGCGUAAAGGGCUCGCAGGCGGUUUCUUAAGUCUGAUGUGAAAGCCCCCGGCUCAACCGGGGAGGGUCAUUGGAAACUGGGAAACUUGAGUGCAGAAGAGGAGAGUGGAAUUCCACGUGUAGCGGUGAAAUGCGUAGAGAUGUGGAGGAACACCAGUGGCGAAGGCGACUCUCUGGUCUGUAACUGACGCUGAGGAGCGAAAGCGUGGGGAGCGAGCAGGAUUAGAUACCCCUGUAGUCCCUGUCUCUUAUAC
rnacentral:rRNA from 1 species